UUAACAGCAAAGAAAAAUGUCCUUUUAACCAGAUUAGUGAUAACGAAACGUCUCUUUAAUAGCGUAUUUCCACGGGGCCGGUAGUUCGCGAGAUUCAUUAUUAUUUAUGACCAGUUUACUUUCUCUCCGUUUUUCUAUUUCUAGAGACUCUCUUAUUAAGCCAUGCUUCAUGUUGUUGAUUCUUUUUAUUAUUUUAGCGUCAUUCCAUUUUGUCUCGAUGUUUUUCGCAAGGGGUUCCUGCGCUGGGGCCGUGGUGGUCUUUCCGUGCUUCACGUCAUUUUUGUGUUCAUUGGGCCGCUGUUCAGGAGUCCUUCCUGUCACUUCGAUGUA
rnacentral:lncRNA from 1 species